rnacentral:rRNA from 1 species
CCCUUAGAUGUUCUGGGCCGCACGCGCGCUACACUGAUGCAUUCAACGAGUUCCUACCUUGGCCGAGAGGCCUGGGCAAUCUUUUGAACUUGCAUCGUGAUAGGGAUAGAUUAUUGCAAUUAUUAAUCUUGAACGAGGAAUUCCCAGUAAACGCAGAUCAUCAAUCUGCAUUGAUUACGUCCCUGCCCUUUGUACACACCGCCCGUCGCACCUACCGAUUGAAUGGUCCGGUGAAGCCUCGGGAUUGUGGUUAGUUUCCUUCAUUGGAAGUUAGCCGCGAGAACUUGUCUAAACCUUAUCAUUUAGAGGAAGGAGAAGUCGUAACA